rnacentral:rRNA from 12 species
AGGCGAAAAGAACCCCUGUGAGGGGAGUGAAAUAGAACCUGAAACCGUAUACGUACAAGCAGUGGGAGCCUUUAGGGGUGACUGCGUACCUUUUGUAUAAUGGGUCAGCGACUUAUAUUUAGUAGCAAGGUUAACCAUGUAGGGGAGCCGUAGCGAAAGCGAGUGUUAACUGCGCGUCUAGUUGCUAGGUAUAGACCCGAAACCCGGUGAUCUAGCCAUGGGCAGGUUGAAGGUUGAGUAACAUCAACUGGAGGACCGAACUCACUAACUUUGAAAAGUUAGGAGAUGACUUGUGGCUGGGGGUGAAAGGCCAAUCAAACCGGGAGAUAGCUGGUUCUCCCCGAAAUCUAUUUAGGUAGAGCCUCGGACGAAUUCCUUUGGGGGUAGAGCACUGUUAAGGCUAGGGGGUCAUCCCGACUUACCAACCCUUUGCAAACUCCGAAUACCAAAGAGAACUAUCCGGGAGACACACGGCGGGUGCUAACGUCCGUCGUGAAGAGGGAAACAACCCAGACCGCCAGCUAAGGUCCCAAAAUAUUGCUAAGUGGGAAACGAUGUGGGAAGGCUCAGACAGCUAGGAGGUUGGCUUAGAAGCAGCCAUCCUUUAAAGAAAGCGUAAUAGCUCACUAGUCGAGUCGGCCUGCGCGGAAGAUGUAACGGGGCUAAGCAAUAUACCGAAGCUGCGGCAGCAUACUUGUAUGCUGGGUAGGGGAGCGUUCUGUAAGCCGUUGAAGGUGAACUGUGAAGUUUGCUGGAGGUAUCAGAAGUGCGAAUGCUGACAUGAGUAACGACAAUGCGGGUGAAAAACCCGCACGCCGGAAGACCAAGGUUUCCUGUCCCAUGCUAAUCAGGGCAGGGUAAGUCGGCCCCUAAGGCGAGGCAGAAAUGCGUAGUCGAUGGGAAACGGGUUAAUAUUCCCGUACUUAUAUAAUCAGUGAUGGAGGGACGGAGAAGGCUAAGCAAGCUUGGCGUUGGUUGUCCAAGUGAAAGUGCGUAGGGAGUGAGAUUAGGUAAAUCCGGUCACACAAUCCUGAGACACGAGACGAGCCACCAAGGUGGUGAAGUUGUUGAUGCCCUGCUUCCAGGAAAAUCUUCUAAACUUAUGAUUAUGUAAACCGUACCCCAAACCGACACAGGUGGUCUGGUAGAGUAUACCAAGGCGCUUGAGAGAACUAUGUUGAAGGAACUCGGCAAAAUGCUCCCGUAAGUUCGCGAGAAGGGAGACCUCCACUUAGGCAACUAGGUGGGGGUGGCACAGACCAGGGGGUGGCGACUGUUUACUAAAAACACAGGGCUCUGCGAAGUCGCAAGACGACGUAUAGGGUCUGACGCCUGCCCGGUGCUGGAAGGUUAAAUGGAGUGGUGCAAGCUGCGAAAUGAAGCCCCAGUAAACGGCGGCCGUAACAAUAACGGUCCUAAGGUAGCGA